GAGUUUGAUCCUGGCUCAGGACGAACGCUGGCGGCGUGCCUAAUACAUGCAAGUCGAACGCUUUUUCUUUCACCGGAGCUUGCUCCACCGAAAGAAAAAGAGUGGCGAACGGGUGAGUAACACGUGGGUAACCUGCCCAUCAGAAGGGGAUAACACUUGGAAACAGGUGCUAAUACCGUAUAACACUAUUUUCCGCAUGGAAGAAAGUUGAAAGGCGCUUUUGCGUCACUGAUGGAUGGACCCGCGGUGCAUUAGCUAGUUGGUGAGGUAACGGCUCACCAAGGCCACGAUGCAUAGCCGACCUGAGAGGGUGAUCGGCCACACUGGGACUGAGACACGGCCCAGACUCCUACGGGAGGCAGCAGUAGGGAAUCUUCGGCAAUGGACGAAAGUCUGACCGAGCAACGCCGCGUGAGUGAAGAAGGUUUUCGGAUCGUAAAACUCUGUUGUUAGAGAAGAACAAGGAUGAGAGUAGAACGUUCAUCCCUUGACGGUAUCUAACCAGAAAGCCACGGCUAACUACGUGCCAGCAGCCGCGGUAAUACGUAGGUGGCAAGCGUUGUCCGGAUUUAUUGGGCGUAAAGCGAGCGCAGGCGGUUUCUUAAGUCUGAUGUGAAAGCCCCCGGCUCAACCGGGGAGGGUCAUUGGAAACUGGGAGACUUGAGUGCAGAAGAGGAGAGUGGAAUUCCAUGUGUAGCGGUGAAAUGCGUAGAUAUAUGGAGGAACACCAGUGGCGAAGGCGGCUCUCUGGUCUGUAACUGACGCUGAGGCUCGAAAGCGUGGGGAGCGAACAGGAUUAGAUACCCUGGUAGUCCACGCCGUAAACGAUGAGUGCUAAGUGUUGGAGGGUUUCCGCCCUUCAGUGCUGCAGCAAACGCAUUAAGCACUCCGCCUGGGGAGUACGACCGCAAGGUUGAAACUCAAAGGAAUUGACGGGGGCCCGCACAAGCGGUGGAGCAUGGUGGUUUU
rnacentral:rRNA from 1 species